UCCGCAAUGGGCUAAAGCCUGUACGGAGCAAGUNCCGCGUGGGGGNUGAAGGUUUGUGGAUUGUAAACCCCUUUUGAUUGGGAAGAAUACUGACGGUACCAAUCGAAUAAGCCUCGGCUAACUCCGUGCCAGCAGCCGCGGUAAUACGGAGGAGGCAAGCGUUAUCCGGAAUUAUUGGGCGUAAAGCGUCCGUAGGUGGUUUAGUAAGUCUGCUGUUAAAGCGCGGGGCUUAACUCCGUAUCGGCAGUGGAAACUACUAGACUAGAGUGUGGUAGGGGUAGAGGGAAUUCCCAGUGUAGCGGUGAAAUGCGUAGAUAUUGGGAAGAACACCGGUGGCGAAAGCGCUCUACUGGGCCAUAACUGACACUGAUGGACGAAAGCUAGGGGAGCGAAAGGGAUUAGAUACCCCU
rnacentral:rRNA from 1 species